rnacentral:misc_RNA from 1 species
GAUGAAGAACGUAGUGAAAUGCGAUAAGUAAUGUGAAUUGCAGAAUUCAGUGAAUCAUCGAAUCUUUGAACUCACCUUGCACCCUUUGGUAUUCCGAAGGGUAUGCUCGUUUGAGUGUCAUUGUACUCUCACACUUCUAAUUCCUUUCGGGAUUGGGAGCGGUGGACUUGGGUGUUGCUGCUUUAGUUGUGGCUCACCUCAAAUAAGUUAGUGCAACUCUUGGUUGGACAUAGUACGGCGUGAUAAGUGUCUUCGCCGGCGCCUCUGUAAGGAGGGUGGCCGAUCGGGAGCUCUGUGCUUCAAACCGUCUUCGGACAAUCUUUGACAACUUGACCUCAAAUCGAGUAGGACUACCCGCUGAACUUAAGCAUAUCAAUAAGCGGAGGA